AAGAAGGGAGUGGCCACGUACCUUCAAGAGCAAGUGGAGGUGCCCACGGACAUUAGAGGCGUCCAUAAACAGUGGCGUGAAGCUGGCCGGUUGAAGAGUAGCCCAUACCUUCUAACGAGGAAACCGGAAGUGUCUCUGCAGACCCCUUUUUGGUCUGAAAACGCGGCAGGAUCCCUCAGAGGAGCUGUCCCACGAACUCUGUGAGGGAUCCAGAGUGCUCCAUGAGUCCCAUUUUUACCGGACUCACAAAGAAUCAUGGUGGAAGGAAAGAAGUCUCAAAAGGAGGCUUUGACUGUGUAGUGCCCUUUAGCUUCAAGGGAAAUCCCGUCAUAUAAGAAUGGGAGGUUCCAAUUCAAGGGCUGAGAUAGGUUUCCCAGUUGAAAGCUUGCUCGAAGCCUGAGACAGGAAUCAGCUUCCUGUCCAGCUGGAAUGAAAAAGAGGCAGCAACCUUACAAAUGUCACUAUGGGCAUGAAGUAAAGGGACCACAGGAUGGGCAGUAAUUUGGAAAGGGAUAUCCCCCCCCCGGGAUAGAAGAAAAAGACAUUGCUUGGCUACAGUGAAAAGCCUUUUGUCCCAGGUCCGUGUCGAAGAGAGAUGGAAGAAACAUUAAACAAUCUGAAGAUUCUGAAUGUUUUAAGCCCAAGAGGAUUGCAUGUUCCAAACUGUGACAGGAAGGGAUUUUAUAAGAAAAAACAGUGCUUUUUCAACCCGUCAUACAUGUACCACCUACCAGGUGCCAACAUACCACCAGUGGUACGCAUAGCACUGGUUGAAAAGUCCUGCCCUAAGGUUCCAAAAAGGUAGAAAACGCAAAACAGGUGGAUCUCUCUUAUUUUUAAGAGGGGCCGGAUGUCAGAAUCCAACUAUAUUUCAUAUUUA